UACGUAGGAGGCGAGCGUUGUCCGGAAUCAUUGGGCGUAAAGAGCGCGCAGGCGGCUUGGCAAGUCGGGUGUGAAAUCCCGGGGCUCAACCCCGUGACUGCAUCCGAUACUGUCAGGCUAGAGGUAGGUAGGGGAGAUCGGAAUUCCUGGUGUAGCGGUGAAAUGCGCAGAUAUCAGGAGGAACACCGGUGGCGAAGGCGGUUCUCUGGGAAUGUUCUGACGCUGAGGAGCGAAAGUGUGGGGAGCGAACAGG
rnacentral:rRNA from 1 species